rnacentral:rRNA from 1 species
ACACGACUACAUUAGAUACCCGUGUAGUCCCAGCCCUAAACGAUGCGCGUUAGGUGUAUCGGUGACCACGAGUCACCGAGGUGCCGAAGGGAAACCGUGAAACGUGCCGCCUGGGAAGUACGGUCGCAAGGCUGAAACUUAAAGGAAUUGGCGGGGAGCACCACAACAGGUGGAGCCUGCGGUUUAAUUGGACUCAACGCCGGGAAGCUCACCGGAUAGGACAGCAGAAUGAUUGCCGGGCUGAAGACCCUGCAUGACUAGCUG